ACGGGUGAGUAAUGCCUAGGAAUCUGCCUGGUAGUGGGGGAUAACGUUCGGAAACGGACGCUAAUACCGCAUACGUCCUACGGGAGAAAGCAGGGGACCUUCGGGCCUUGCGCUAUCAGAUGAGCCUAGGUCGGAUUAGCUAGUUGGUGAGGUAAUGGCUCACCAAGGCGACGAUCCGUAACUGGUCUGAGAGGAUGAUCAGUCACACUGGAACUGAGACACGGUCCAGACUCCUACGGGAGGCAGCAGUGGGGAAUAUUGGACAAUGGGCGAAAGCCUGAUCCAGCCAUGCCGCGUGUGUGAAGAAGGUCUUCGGAUUGUAAGGCACUUUAAGUUGGGAGGAAGGGCAGUUGCCUAAUACGUAACUGUUUUGACGUUACCGACAGAAUAAGCACCGGCUAACUCUGUGCCAGCAGCCGCGGUAAUACAGAGGGUGCAAGCGUUAAUCGGAAUUACUGGGCGUAAAGCGCGCGUAGGUGGUUUGUUAAGUUGGAUGUGAAAUCCCCGGGCUCAACCUGGGAACUGCAUUCAAAACUGACUGACUAGAGUAUGGUAGAGGGUGGUGGAAUUUCCUGUGUAGCGGUGA
rnacentral:rRNA from 1 species